rnacentral:lncRNA from 1 species
GGUAAAGGCUUAGGUAGAGGGGGAGAGGGAUAUGGCCAUGGUGGUGGAGGUGGUUAUGGCUCAGGUGGUGGAGGUGGAGAGGGAUAUGGCAAAGGUGGCGGAGGUGGUUAUGGCUCAGGCGGUGGUAAACACUCAGGUGGAGGUGGAGAGGGAUAUGGCAAAGGUGGUGGAGGUGGUUAUGGCUCAGGUGGUGGUAAACACUCAGGUGGUGGUAAACACUCAGGUGGAGGUGGAGAGGGAUAUGGCAAAGGUGGUGGAGGUGGUUAUGGCUCAGGUGGUGGUAAACACUCAGGUGGUGGUAAACACUCAGGUGGUGGUAAACACUCAGGCGGUGGUAAACACUCAGGUGGAGGUGGAGAGGGAUAUGGCAAAGGUGGCGGAGGUGGUUAUGGCUCAGGCGGUGGUAAACACUCAGGUGGAGGUGGAGAGGGAUAUGGCAAAGGUGGUGGAGGUGGUUAUGUUAUGGCUCAGGUGGUGGUAAACACUCAGGUGGAGGUGGAGAGGGAUAUGGCUCAGGUGGUGGAGGUGGUUAUGGCUCGGGCGGUGGUAAACACUCAGGUGGAGGUGGAGAGGGAUAUGGCUCAGGUGGUGGAGGUGGUUAUG